rnacentral:rRNA from 1 species
AAACAAGUAUUAAAGGUAGCGCCUGCCCAGUGAAACUUAAACGGCCGCGGUAUCCUAACCGUGCAAAGGUAGCGUAAUCACUUGUCUUAUAAAUAAAGACCCGUAUGAAUGGCUAAAUGAAUAUUUAACUGUCUCCUUUAACUAAUCAGUGAAACUGAUCUUUCAGUACAAAAGCUGAAAUAAAAACAUAAGACGAGAAGACCCUGUGGAGCUUCAAAUUUUAAACAAAGUAUAAUAAAAAUGUAUUUAUGUUAAAAAUUUUUAGUUGGGGCGACUUUGGAGUAAAACUAAGCCUCCAAGAAAAGGCACAGCCUAACUAAGACCAACAGGCCAAACCAUAAAGACCCAGUAUAUUUACUGACUAAUGAACCAAGUUACCCCAGGGAUAACAGCGCCAUCUUCUUCAAGAGUUCCUAUCGACAAGAAGGUUUACGACCUCGAUGUUGGAUCAGGACACCCUAAUGGUGCAGCCGCUAUUAAAGGUUCGUUUGUUCAACGAUUAAU